UACGUAGGGUGCGAGCGUUGUCCGGAAUUAUUGGGCGUAAAGAGCUCGUAGGCGGUGUGUCGCGUCGGCCGUGAAAACCUGGGGCUUAACUCUGGGCGUGCGGUCGAUACGGGCAUCACUGGAGUUCGGCAGGGGAGACUGGAAUUCCUGGUGUAGCGGUGAAAUGCGCAGAUAUCAGGAGGAACACCGGUGGCGAAGGCGGGUCUCUGGGCCGAUGACUGACGCUGAGGAGCGAAAGCGUGGGGAGCGAACAGG
rnacentral:rRNA from 1 species